CDSGCGCGAAAACUUUACAAUGCUGGCAACAGCGAUAAGGGAACCUCGAGUGCCAGGUUACAAAUCUGGCUGUCGAGAUGCCUAAAAAGCAUUUCAUAGCAAGGGCCGGGCAAGACCGGUGCCAGCCGCCGCGGUAACACCGGCGGCUCGAGUGGUAACCGUUAUUAUUGGGUCUAAAGGGUCUGUAGCCGGCCGGAUAAGUCUCUUGAGAAAUCUGGCAGCUUAACUGUCAGGCUUUCAGGAGAUACUGUCUGGCUCGAGGCCGGGAGAGGUGGGAGGUACUUCAGGGGUAGGGGUGAAAUCUUGUAAUCCUUGAAGGACCACCAGUGGCGAAGGCGUCUCACCAGAACGGACCUGACGGCAAGGGACGAAAGCUAGGGGCACGAACCGGA
rnacentral:rRNA from 1 species